rnacentral:lncRNA from 1 species
GGACCCCCCCUCCUUUGUCUCUCUUUAGAGACACCCCUGUCUCCCACCGCCUCACACCACCGCCUUCCGCCCACCGGAAAUUGCCUCACGGCGGUUCCGUUGGCCCAAACAACCCCAAAUUUACACCAUAGAACCCCCCUCACUCCCCUUAUGCCAAAUUCCCACUCCCUUUUCCUCGAAUCACCCCAUAACUCUUCGAAUCUUAAAUCGAAGAUCUGACCCCGAACCCUAGCCUACCCAACCAGCCCCAAAUCGAUACCCCAGAACCAUCUCACUACCCUCUUUCCAAAUCCCCACUUCACGACCUUCGAAUAACACCAGAACUGUUCGAAUCUUAAAAUAACCCUAAAAUCCCAAACUCCAAAUCGGUUAGAUAUUGGAAGGUUUGAGGUCGAAAUCAACCUUAGUUGUGUAUUCUUAGUCGAGAACACUCGAUUAAGGUCUAUUCCGGCUUCAUAUUCAAAAUUUAAGAUCUAAUUCAAGAUGGGGUUCGAUCAUUUGGAGGUAGGUGUCCUGAUUUUAGUUGUUCUAAUUAUUUUUUUUAUUUAUCUUCCUCUACUCCUUUCUUUUAUUUUUAGAAUGGUUAUUUGGUCGGAUUCAAUUUGUUUUUUUUAGUUUAGUUUCUGUGUCGAACUAAAAAUUGUUCGUCGAUUUGGUCUGGUUUAUUCAUGAGCUUCUUUAGCUAUUAUUCAUGUCAUCUGAAUUCUUGAUUUCUUCUUUUAAUUAUGGUAACCUCUGAGUCCUUCGUAUUCUAGGUUUAGUCAGAGUAAUUAGGAUCGGUUCAAUAAUUUGGUUUAAAUUCUUGCUUAAUUGUGUUGAUAAGAAUUAACUAUUAUAAGUUUUAUGCAAGUGGUCACUAAUUGAGAAGCUUCUAAUAGUGGUAGGGUAGUAUUUGCUCUAAUGGAUUAAAUAAUUGAGUGGAUAAUUGAGUGGAUGAUUAAAGAAAUGAAAAGUUGAAUUGGUAGUGGAAAAUGCACUAAUGGAAUGCUUAUUUAAGGGAACUGAAAAUCAGAACAGAGAGAGAGAGAUGCAGAGAGGAAAGGAGAUAGGAAAAAAAGAUACAGAGAUAGAGCUUAAGAGUUAGAAAGGGGGUACUGGGAAAAGACAAAGAAAAACAUUCAGAAAAAUACGGGAACGAAUACAAAAUAUUACUGUUCCAUUAAAAUUUCUGAAACUCUUAAGGCUUUUCAUUUCUGAAAUAAUUCCUGAAUAAUCAGAGGUUAAAAUGAUUUGAACUUGUUGGUUUUCAAGUGUUUGGUUCAAGUGUUGGCUGCAUUUUUGAUUACUGAUCAUCAUUUGAUCUUUCUACUGGUUUGAAUUCGGCUCAAAAAUUAGUUUUCCUUGGGGUAUUUCUGCUGUUGGGUCUUGUUGUUUCUACUGCUGAAUCUUACCCUUUUUUACUCUCAUUUUCAGGUACAUUUUUGUUCUAUCCGCUGUAAAACCUUUUGUGAUAUGGAAAUCAGGAAGAUUUGAAGCAUGUUGGCCAUUUAUUCUCAUUAGAAGAGUUUAAUUUUGUCUUCAUUUCAUGUUUUAGUUUGAAUAUGUUUACGUUUGAAUGUUGGUCAGUGAUAGUGCUUUUAGGGGUUGAGUUUGGUUUAAAAGGGAUAUGGGAUUCGAUUUUAGUUGAAUAUUCUGUAAUCUAAAACCAGCACUGUGUAAAUGACCUGGUCAUAAUGUUUAAAUCUGCUUAAAAGUUAGGACAGCAUGUUUGCUUAGUUAGG